rnacentral:rRNA from 1 species
GACGAACGCUGGCGGCGUGCCUAAUACAUGCAAGUAGAACGCUGAGGAGAGGAGCUUGCUCUUCUUGGAUGAGUUGCGAACGGGUGAGUAACGCGUAGGUAACCUGCCUUGUAGCGGGGGAUAACUAUUGGAAACGAUAGCUAAUACCGCAUAACAAUGGAUGACACAUGUCAUUUAUUUGAAAGGGGCAAUUGCUCCACUACAAGAUGGACCUGCGUUGUAUUAGCUAGUAGGUGAGGUAACGGCUCACCUAGGCGACGAUACAUAGCCGACCUGAGAGGGUGAUCGGCCACACUGGGACUGAGACACGGCCCAGACUCCUACGGGAGGCAGCAGUAGGGAAUCUUCGGCAAUGGGGGCAACCCUGACCGAGCAACGCCGCGUGAGUGAAGAAGGUUUUCGGAUCGUAAAGCUCUGUUGUAAGUCAAGAACGAGUGUGAGAGUGGAAAGUUCACACUGUGACGGUAGCUUACCAGAAAGAGACGGCUAACUACGUG